AGGCUACUGCUAUCGGGGUUCGAUUAAGCCAUGCGAGUUAAAUGUUNUUCGUGAACAUAGCGAACUGCUCAGUAACACGUGGAUAACCUACCCNUAGGACCGGAAUAACCCCGGGAAACUGGGGAUAAUACCGGAUAAGCCAUAGACGCUGGAAUGCCCUAUGGUUCAAAGNUCCGGCGCCUAAGGAUGGAUCUGCGGUCUAUCAGGUUGUAGUGGGUGUAACGUACCUACUAGCCGACGACGGAUACGGGUUGUGAGAGCAAGAGCCCGGAGAUGGAUUCUGAGACACGAAUCCAGGCCCUACGGGGUGCAGCAGGCGCGAACACUUUACAAUGCGGGAAACCGCGAUAAGGGGACCCCGAGUGCCAGCAUCAAAUGUUGGCUGUCCAGAUGGUUGAAAAUCAUUUGUUAGCAAGGGCCGGGCAAGACCGGUGCCAGCCGCCGCGGUAACACCGGCGGCCCGAGUGGUAGCCGUUUUUAUUGGGUCUAAAGGGUCCGUAGCCGGCCUGAUAAGUCCCUUGGGAAAUCUGACAGCUUAACUGUCAGGCUUCUAAGGGAUACUGUCAGGCUUGGGACCGGAAGAGGUAAGGGGUACUCCAGGGGUAGGAGUGAAAUCUUGUAAUCCCUGGGGGACCAUCUGUGGCGAAGGCGCCUUACCAGAACGGGUCCGACGGUGAGGGACGAAAGCUAGGGGAGCAAACCGGAUUAGAUACCCGGGUAGUCCUAGCUGUAAACGAUGCUCGCUAGGUGUCAGACACGGUGCGACCGUGUUUGGUGCCGCAGGGAAGCCGUUAAGCGAGCCACCUGGGAAGUACGGUCGCAAGGCUGAAACUUAAAGGAAUUGGCGGG
rnacentral:rRNA from 1 species